rnacentral:rRNA from 1 species
AUUGAACGCUGGCGGCAGGCCUAACACAUGCAAGUCGAGCGGAUGAAGGGAGCUUGCUCCUGGAUUCAGCGGCGGACGGGUGAGUAAUGCCUAGGGAUCUGCCUGGUAGUGGGGGAUAACGUCCGGAAACGGGCGCUAAUACCGCAUACGUCCUGAGGGAGAAAGUGGGGGAUCUCCGGACCUCACGCUAUCAGAUGAGCCUAGGUCGGAUUAGCUAGUUGGUGGGGUAAAGGCCUACCAAGGCGACGAUCCGUAACUGGUCUGAGAGGAUGAUCAGUCACACUGGAACUGAGACACGGUCCAGACUCCUACGGGAGGCAGCAGUGGGGAAUAUUGGACAAUGGGCGAAAGCCUGAUCCAGCCAUGCCGCGUGUGUGAAGAAGGUCUUCGGAUUGUAAAGCACUUUAAGUUGGGAGGAAGGGCAGUAAGUUAAUACCUUGCUGUUUUGACGUUACCAACAGAAUAAGCACCGGCUAACUUCGUG